rnacentral:rRNA from 1 species
GACGAACGCUGGCGGCGCGCCUAACACAUGCAAGUCGAACGGAGCUUAGAGAGCUUGCUUUUUAAGCUUAGUGGCGAACGGGUGAGUAACGCGUGAGUAACCUGCCCUAGAGUGGGGGACAACAGUUGGAAACGACUGCUAAUACCGCAUAAGCCCACGGUGCCGCAUGACACUGAGGGAAAAGGAUUUAUUCGCUUUAGGAUGGACUCGCGUCCAAUUAGCUAGUUGGUGAGGUAACGGCCCACCAAGGCGACGAUUGGUAGCCGGACUGAGAGGUUGAACGGCCACAUUGGGACUGAGACACGGCCCAGACUCCUACGGGAGGCAGCAGUGGGGGAUAUUGCACAAUGGGGGGAAACCCUGAUGCAGCGACGCCGCGUGGAGGAAGAAGGUUUUCGGAUUGUAAACUCCUGUCGUUAGGGACGAUAAUGACGGUACUUAACAAGAAAGCACCGGCUAACUACGUGCCAGCAGCCGCGGUAAAACGUAGGGUGCAAGCGUUGUCCGGAAUUACUGGGUGUAAAGGGAGCGCAGGCGGGAAGACAAGUUGGAAGUGAAAACCAUGGGCUCAACCCAUGAAUUGCUUUCAAAACUGUUUUUCUUGAGUAGUGCAGAGGUAGAUGGAAUUCCCGGUGUAGCGGUGGAAUGCGUAGAUAUCGGGAGGAACACCAGUGGCGAAGGCGGCCUACUGGGCACCAACUGACGCUGAGGCUCGAAAGUGUGGGUAGCAAACAAGGAUUAGAUACCCUGGUAGUCCACACCGUAAACG